rnacentral:rRNA from 1 species
CCUACGGGUGGCAGCAGUGAGGAAUAUUUGUCAAUGGGCUUAAGCCUGAACCAGCCAAGUCGCGUGAGGGAUGACUGCCCUACGGGUUGUAAACCUCUUUUGUCAGGGAGCAACUCCGGCUACUUUUAGCGGAAUUGAGAGUCCCUGAAGAAAAAGCAUCGGCUAACUCCGUGCCAGCAGCCGCGGUAAUACGGAGGAUGCGAGCGUUAUCCGGAGUUAUUGGGUUUAAAGGGUGCGUCGGCGGAAUGCGAAGUCAGCGGUAAAAUCCGGGGGCUCAACCUCGCUCCGCCGUUGAAACUGGCGUUCUUGAGUGGGCGAGAAGUAUGCGGAAUGCGUGGUGGAGCGGUGAAAUGCAUAGAUAUCACGCAGAACUCCGAUUGCGAAGGCAGCAUACCGGCGCCCAACUGACGCUGAAGCACGAAAGCGUGGGUAUCGAACAGGAUUAGAUACCCUAGUAGUC